CCUGCAGCUAUCCAAAUUUUAUGCACAGUCCAAUAGCAAUUUCUCUACAGAUGAAAGUGUAUUAUUAUCAGAGUACCGGCUCUGGAUGAACACUGUGAACAGUCAGUCUUUUUCUUCCGUGUUGGAGGCUUACAAGACCUGCUGUGAUUUGCCGUUCUACCCGCAUAUUAAGGACUUGUUUAAGAUCUUUAUUACUUUGCCUGUAACAACUAGUACAAGUGAGCGAUCAUUUUCUGCUAUGAAGAGGCUAAAAUCCUACUUAAGAAAUACCAUGGGAAAUGAACGACUUAAUGGCCUUGCUUUACUGAACAUCCACCGCCACCUAAGUGUUUCUUGUGAGGAAGUCCUUCAAGAGCUAAUAAAGAAACCGAGACGGUUGGAUUUUGUUCUUUAAGAACUAAUUUUAUUUUGGUUACAAUCACCUGUAGAGGAUUGUAUAGCUUUGAGUAUCUGCCGGCCAUCCGCCUCUGUUGCUUGAAGCCCAAUGGCUGGAAGACCACAGGAGCCACCAAUGUUUCUUCUUGGUCCCAUUUUGGAGCAUCAAUAUUUUGGAUGACCCCCCAAAUGAUGUAAUGGAGUUAAUAAAUGCAGAUUUUUUUUGACCAUUGUGAAGAUGUAGCCAAGUCUUCUUUGGGGAAACACUGCUGCCAACCUGCUAUUAAAGACAUGCAUCCACCAUUUUUGCUGCCUGCCAGAGUUGCACUGCAGCCCAGCAGGACCAAUCGGGACUGUAGCUGAAAGCUAGACAGUGUUCAGCAAGAUCACCUACUAGUCUGCCAUGUUGAAACACUGCUGCCAGCUGUCAAGGUCUACAAAGAGAAACUGUCAACAAUUUCAUGUUGCCCAAUCUGAGGGCAGUGAGGUAUUG